rnacentral:rRNA from 1 species
AGUGAACGCUGGCGGUAGGCCUAACACAUGCAAGUCGAACGGCAGCACAGUAAGAGCUUGCUCUUACGGGUGGCGAGUGGCGGAUGGGUGAGGAAUACAUCGGAAUCUACUUUUUCGUGGGGGAUAACGUAGGGAAACUUACGCUAAUACCGCAUACGACCUACGGGGGAAAUCAGGGGAUCUUCGGACCUUGCGCGAUCGAAUGAGCCGAUGUCGGAUUAGCUAGUUGGCGGGGUAACGGCCCACCAAGGCGACGAUCCGUAGCUGGUCUGAGAGGAUGAUCCGCCCCACUGGAAGUGAAACGCGGCACAGACUCCGACGGGAGGCAGCAGCGGCGAAGAUUGGCAGCAGGGCGGAAGCCUGAACCAGCCAUGCCGGGUGGGUGAAGAAGGCCUUCGGGUUGGAAAGCCCUUUUGUUGGGAAAGAAAAGCAGCAGGUUAAUACACCGCUGUUCUGAGGGUACCGAAAGAAUAAGCACCGGCUAACUUCGG